ACACGACUCUCGGCAACGGAUAUCUCGGCUCUCGCAUCGAUGAAGAACGUAGCGAAAUGCGAUACCUGGUGUGAAUUGCAGAAUCCCGCGAACCAUCGAGUCUUUGAACGCAAGUUGCGCCCGAGGCCCCUCGGCCGAGGGCACGCCUGCCUGGGCGUC
rnacentral:rRNA from 1 species